CUAACUUUUAAAUUUGUUUUACAAAUAUCUUUAUUAUUACAGAAAUGGAAUUAAGAAAGUAACUAGAAGAAAAUCUCCUUUUGUAUAACGGAUUAACUACAAUUCACUUAUUUUAAGUUUUCCCGAAAGUAGAAGAUCUAAUUUUUAGAACUUUUUAGAGUUUUUUUGUUUAUGUGGCAUUAUAAUACUAAUACUAAAAAUUAGGGGCGAAACACCUACAAUUCUACUGAUAUCUGGAUUUAAGUUAAAAGUAUAUAGUACUUUAGACAUAUGGUAAGUGUUAAGACUUACCAUAAUAAAUAUAAUGAUUAUUACUUUGUAUGUAGCUAGAAUUAAAAUUUCUUGCUUAAUUUUUUAUAUAAAAAUUAAUUUUCUAUUUUAUUUUUAUAAUGACUUAAUAUUCAUUUAAAUUUAUGAAUGGAUCGAGAAUGUUAAUAUUAGUAAUAAUUUUCUAAAAGUUCUGAAAUGCAGAUAAAGGAACUCGGCAAAAUUUUACCUCAACUGUUUAUCAAAAACAUAGCCCAGAGAAUUAUAAAUUCUGGGUGAAGCCUGCCCAGUGCUUUAAAUUAGUGUUAACGGCCGCAGUAUUUUGACUGUGCUAAGGUAGCAAAAUAAUUUGGCUUUUAAAUGGAGUCGGGAAUGAAUGGAUUUAUGGGGUAAAGCUGUCUCUAUCGCAUUUACUUUAAUUUACUUACUAGGUGAAAAUGCCUAGAUUAAGAAAAAAGACGAGAAGACCCUAGGAGUUUUUAUAAAAAAUUAUCAAAAUAAUUUAAAUUUUUGUUGGGGCGACAAUGGAGUAUUAAAUAAAACCUCCACUUUUAUAUUUGCCGACUUUGUAUGUGAGUUUAAACUACCCUAGGGAUAACAGCGUAAUUUUUUUAAGCUUGCGACCUCGAUGUUGGACUAGGAAUUCGGUAGGCUAGCCGCCUAUUUGUAUGGUUCUGUUCGAACUAAAUUUCCU
rnacentral:rRNA from 1 species